AUUCCAGGCAUUAGAUGUAAAUGAACAGUGGAAACUGAUAGAGAUUCUCACACAUUAGCAGACCAGCUGCUACAGGGCUGCGUGGAGGUGGAGGAGCAUUUUGUAAGACUGGGGGUCCUUACGUUUACUUGGAGACAGGGCCACAUCUCACACAGCACAGGAAGUGAGCCCUUUAAUUUAACAAGAUUCAAUUAAAUUUUCAAAAAAUCAAAUAACAAUUUUAGACUCACUUAGUUUUUUUUUUUGUUUUUUUUUUUAAGAUGGAGUCUGACUCUGUUGCCCAGUGCAAUGGCACCAUCUCGGCUCACUGCAACCUCUACCUCCUGGGUUCAAGCAAUUCUUUUGCCUCAGCCUCCUUAGUGGAGAUUACAGGAAAACACUCUCCGAAACGUACAUUUUCUCGAGGCACAGAACCUGGUACGAACAAACAAAAAGCAGAAACCAGCAGAAGGACAUCGUCUCCAAACUGCUGUUUCUCCAGCUGGAGCAGUUCUGGUGCGCCGAGCCUCCGGUCUGUGACAAGAAGACACAUUUCAGAGCCGGGCUGCACAGGAGGGCGGCGUUCACCAGUGGUCAAGCCCUUCCAGCUUCCUGAACCCGACCCUGUCUGCUGGCCUUUGGGACCUCCCCACCCCCUGGCCCUGGCAGCCUGAGGAAGUUCCGUGUGGGAACAGUACGGUCUAUUUAAUUAAUGUGUAUUCCAUUUGGGACAAUGUCCCUAAUUACCAUGAGCUCUGCUUAGUAUGCUGUGCUCGAUUUCAUUCAUCUUGUGUGUUCUGAUGAAAAACAUUAUGCUUCAUUUAAUUUGUCUCCUCUGCUCACGGAUGGUGAUUUCCACAGCAUGGCUUCAGGAGGCUGCCCCACCUGGAAGGCAGGGAGGGCCUCCGGGAGGGUGGUCCCCAGCCAGAGCACUUCAGAGGUGGCGGCGCACGGGCAAGGGCUGGCUGGCUCAUCUGCCCUGUGAGGCCUGGGUGGGCCCUUAGCUUGCACAUCUACCCCAAACUCGCUGGGCCCCACACAAACCUGUCCCCUUAGCUGUUUGGGGACAGCCCCAGUCCCUCCACUCCGUCCCUACCCUGGUCCCCAGCAUGAGCGACAGAGUCCCUCUGGGUCCUCCCCGUCUCAUGGCCAGGCUGCCGAGAGACACUGUGGGCCUGCGCUCCUGAAGCCUUGCGUGUUCUUUGCUCUGAGUGCACACAAGGAUUUGAUGGCAAAGAAAUUACAGCCACUUGGGGAGUGUGCACGGACCCCCAAAAGUGAUGGGCCUGGUGGGUGUGUGCGGUCUGUUGGGUGUG